ACUGCGCACGCGCGGCUGGUGAGUGGCGGGUUCAGGCGCAGCUGUGGGGUUGGCUGCGCGCGGCCGAGGGGUUUUGGACUGGGUUAGGUGCCUUUCGUGUGUUUGUUUCUCACCGUUUUUCCAGGGCGGUAGUGGUGGAAGAGUUUAGUUAGCGGUGGCUGGCGGAUGCCUGAGGGAAGGCGCUGGCGCUGGCCUGAGAAUGGGUCCCGGUUGCUGGUUGGGCGCGGUCGGGCCUCGUGUCCAGGUCGCUGGAAGGAGCCGCGUCCUGGGCCGCGCACGUUGGCUUCCGGGCCUCAGGCAGCCUUGGUGCUGAGGGGAACGUGAACCCCUAGGCUGCGGCAGCGCGUGGAGGCCUUCCUUCCGAGUAGAAACAGGACUCGGCCUGCGGUCCUUUCCAUCUUUGCUCUCAGAAGUUCGCGGAUGGAGUUUGCUAAAUACCCGACCAGGCUUGACUGUCCGCUGCUGGAGGGCGGGCACCCGCGGCGCCUGUCGCCGGGGCUUCUGAGGCGGGUCCCCUGCCGGGAGCGGGGGCUGCGAGGUGGAAUAGACUAGGACGAGGGCGGCUUUACUGCGAAACGGCUUCACGGCUGCUGCCUUGACUCGGAAGCCAGUAGCUUCGGAGGUGCAGAAGCAGCGCGGGGACGAGCCCGGAGGGGCCACGUGGCUAACCGGAAGGCCUUCCUGAUGGGGUUGUGAUUACACGCGGUGUCCGUCACCACGUCGCACUGCACACCUACGACCUGCAUUUCACUGUUAUAAACAACUUGUGAAAUGAGUGAUUUGGAAGAUGACGAGACACCCCAGCUUUCUGCCCACGCCUUAGCAGCUCUCCAGGAAUUUUAUGCUGAGCAAAAACAACAAAUUGACCUAGGCGAGGAUGAUAAAUAUAACAUUGGAAUAAUAGAAGAGAAUUGGCAGUUGAGCCAGUUUUGGUAUAGUCAGGAAACUGCUCUGCGACUUGCACAGGAGGCAAUUGCAGCUGUAGGAGAAGAUGGCAGAAUCGCAUGUGUGAGUGCCCCUAGUGUUUACCAGAAACUCAGAGAGCUGUGCAGAGAAAACUUUACUAUAUAUAUCUUUGAAUAUGACAAAAGAUUUGCCGUGUAUGGAGAGGAGUUUAUUUUCUAUGAUUACAAUAAUCCAUUGGACUUACCCGAAAGAAUUGCUGCACAUAGUUUUGACAUCGUAAUAGCAGAUCCUCCCUAUCUUUCGGAGGAAUGUCUCAGAAAAACAUCAGAAACCAUCAAGUACCUGACACGGGGCAAGAUUCUUCUGUGCACAGGUGCCAUCAUGGAAGAACAGGCAGCAGAACUCCUUGGAGUGAAGAUGUGCACAUUUGUUCCAAAACACACCCGGAACUUGGCAAAUGAGUUUCGCUGUUAUGUGAAUUAUGAUUCUGGGCUGGACUGUGGGAUCUAAUUACAGAUGGUGACAUAACACAGGAAGGAACUCUGUCACAUUCCCCUUUUUGUAUUUUCCUAGUAGAUUUAAAAUAUAUAAUCUCUUCCCCUCCCCUCAAACUGGAGCCAACCCUGGCCUGAUUUUCAAAAUAAAGUACAUGACCUUCAUUAUUGUUUCCUUAGGGAGGGCCUCCCUAGAGCUCAGUCUGCUGCCAACCUGAAUCCAGGGAAUUCGAGUUGGAAGAAACCUUAGAACCUGCCUGAUCUACUCUCCUAACAUAGGUAAAAACAGCAGAACAGUUGCGUGGCUUGCCCAAGGGCUCCUGAAUGAGACAGGACCUUGGCCUCUGCCUUGGGCCAGAGCAGUCUGGUAGCAUCCUAGAGCUUGUGAGGACCCCCACCCCCGUGUCCCACCCCAGCCCUCCCAGGACACAGACUUGCCUCCAUGAAAAAAGGCAAUAAUCCAAUAACUAGCAUCUGAAUGCCUCUUGGAGCUCUCCUCCUCCAGGUUCUAGGUGGGCUGCGAGGGAUGACAGGUGCCCAGGUGCCCUCCCCACGUGAGUCACACUCAGCACCCUACCUCUGAACUGCCUGAGAAAAUGAAAGACCCAUUUGUAAACCAAACACCAGGACCAAAAAAAGGGAGCUGGGACGAGAGUGCUAGAUUCUCACUGUUCAGAAAAUACUUCUCUCUGCAUACCCCGGAGGACGUCUCAGCAAUCAGAAGUGAACACGCAGCAUGGCUGGGUCUCAAGGGCGCGAUGCUGAUGAAAGAGCUGCGCUGCAGAGGCCCCACACUGGAUGCUUCUAGAACAAGUAUAUAAUUGAAAUACUGUCACUUGGAAACGAUCUUCAGGAACCAGCAAAGCACCUCCAUUCCGAAGGCUGCCACAGAAUCCUCCAGUGGGAGCUGGAAGUCUCUGAGUGACCCAUUCAUCUGGAUCAGACUAAGGCUGCCAGUUGGUCUUUCUGUGGUAGCUGAAGUUUGGGAGUGAAACGCAUGUGAAUAAAGGACACUUCCUGGUUUUGGGGUGUCACAAAGAUCCAAGACAUUGGCCUUACCUGACUAGUUGAUCUAAGACCAAAUCAAAUCUCGAUGAAUUUAAACCUCAAGAUAAAGUGAAGACCUUAGGUAACACAUGAUUUCCUCUAACAAUUAGUCUGGCCCAUCAAGCAGAAUUGAGAGAAAUACACACGGCCAGUGUAUCCUUUAGCGAGACUCUUUUAAUGACUUAAAAAGAACUUCUACCUUUUACAAUUGUGUUCAGAGACAGACUUUCAAUCUAAAGAAAAGAGCAAGGACCUAGCUCUGGUGGCAGAAUCUAGAAACAAGCCCCCAGAGUGAUCUCUGCAGGUUCUAAUGUGGCCCACUUUGUCCUCAUAUUCGGCCUGAUCCUAAAGCUCUUACAACUAAGCCAAUACCUGCUUGGAUUCUUCCUGACAACCGGCAAAGAUGUCACAUUCCACUUCUUAUCUCACCACCUCUUAGCCACAAAUUGGCCCCCACGGCUUUCAAAAGGGAAAAAAAAACUGUACGAGUUUGAGACUGUUUCUGUACUCAUGACUCAUAACACCAAAUCUGAGAUCUCUGGAACUCUUUAGCUGGCCCUGGCGCAUGCGAGCCACCUGUGCAUCCCUUUGUCCACCUGGAGGCCGGUGAAGACCUUCAGAGGAAGGAAGAGUGCGUCAGAUCAGACGUGUCCAUUUCAUCAGUCAGCCAUCGGUGACAGGCUGAAUUCAGAGACCCAGGCCAGAGUGCGCCUGCUAAAAAAUUUAUCCAAGGAUUCCAACUAUGCUAAAAAACAAAA